GCAGUGGUGGCUCAGUGGUAGAAUUCUCACCUUCCAUGCGGGAGACCUGGGUUCAAUUCUCAGCCGAUGCA
rnacentral:tRNA from 1 species